AUUGCUUCUUGGCCUUUUGGCUAAGAUCAAGUGUAGUAACAAUAAAAGGAGUAAUUACCCAUACGAUUUUCUUGUCUGAAGGCACUGGAAAGUACGUUUUAGCUUAGUUUCCUAUGGAAUAAAGACUCAUUCAUGUAAGUCUUUAGCUUGAAUAACUUUUACUGCCCUUAAGUUUUUUAGGCUAAAUUUU